GUGGGGAAUCUUGCGCAAUGGGCGAAAGCCUGACGCAGCAACGCCGCGUGAGCGAAGAAGGCCUUCGGGUUGUAAAGCUCUGUCAGGGGGAAAGAAGGCACCUGGGUUAAUAGCCCAAGGGCUGACGGUACCCCCAAAGGAAGCCACGGCUAACUACGUGCCAGCAGCCGCGGUAAUACGUAGGUGGCAAGCGUUGUCCGGAAUCAUUGGGCGUAAAGAGCGCGUAGGUGGCUUGUCAGGUCUGAUGUGAAAUUUCGGGGCUCAACUCCGAACCUGCAUCGGAAACCGGCUUGCUAGAGUCUGGGAGAGGAGAGUGGAAUUCCUGGUGUAGCGGUGAAAUGCGUAGAUAUCAGGAGGAACACCGGUAGCGAAGGCGGCUCUCUGGAACAGUACUGACGCUGAGGCGCGAAAGCUAGGGGAGCGAACAGG
rnacentral:rRNA from 1 species